rnacentral:snoRNA from 1 species
UUGAUACGAAAUAUUAAGCCUUCUAUUCACUGUGCCAUCUCUAUUUAUACUUCCGUAGAUGAUCAGAGGGGAAAAGAAGCGCAAGACUGAAAAACGCAAGCGUCCUCAUACUGAACAAGGUACUUUUCUUUUUUCAUUGGCCUUGGUUGGUAACUACGUGAGCGAGACAACC